AGUGAACGCUGGCGGUAGGCCUAACACAUGCAAGUCGAACGGCAGCACAGUAAGAGCUUGCUCUUACGGGUGGCGAGUGGCGGACGGGUGAGGAAUACAUCGGAAUCUACUUUUUUGUGGGGGAUAACGUAGGGAAACUUACGCUAAUACCGCAUACGACCUACGGGUGAAAGCAGGGGAUCUUCGGACCUUGCGCGAUUGAAUGAGCCGAUGUCGGAUUAGCUAGUUGGCGGGGUAAAGGCCCACCAGGGCGACGAUCCGUAGCUGGUCUGAGAGGAUGAUCAGCCACACUGGAACUGAGACACGGUCCAGACUCCUACGGGAGGCAGCAGUGGGGAAUAUUGGACAAUGGGCGCAAGCCUGAUCCAGCCAUACCGCGUGGGUGAAGAAGGCCUUCGGGUUGUAAAGCCCUUUUGUUGGGAAAGAAAAGCAGCAGGUUAAUACCCCGCUGUUCUGACGGUACCCAAAGAAUAAGCACCGGCUAACUUCGUG
rnacentral:rRNA from 1 species